rnacentral:rRNA from 1 species
AUUGAACGCUGGCGGCAGGCCUAACACAUGCAAGUCGAGCGGAAGCAGGGAGCUUGCUCCUGGAUUCAGCGGCGGAGGGGUGAGUAAUGCCUAGGAAUCUGCCUGGUUGUGGGGGAUAACGUCCGGAAACGGGCGCUAAUACCGCAUACGCCCUGAGGGAGAAAGUGGGGGAUCUUCGGACCUCACGCUAUCAGAUGAGCCUAGGUCGGAUUAGCUAGUUGGUGGGGUAAAGGCCUACCAAGGCGACGAUCCGUAGCUGGUCUGAGAGGAUGAUCAGUCACACUGGAACUGAGACACGGUCCAGACUCCUACGGGAGGCAGCAGUGGGGAAUAUUGGACAAUGGGCGAAAGCCUGAUCCAGCCAUGCCGCGUGUGUGAAGAAGGUCUUCGGAUUGUAAAGCACUUUUGUUUGGGAGGAAGAGCAGUAAGUUAAUACCUUGCUGUUUUGACGGUACCAAAAGAAUAAGCACCGGCUAACUUCGUG